rnacentral:rRNA from 1 species
CCGCGGGAUUAGAGUUUGAUCCUGGCUCAGGACAAACGCUGGCGGCGUACCUAAGACAUGCAAGUCGAACGGCUCUUCUAGGGGGGAGCAGUGGCGGACGGGUGAGUAACACGUAUGGAACCUAGCAUGGGCAGGGGGAUAACACUGGGAAACCAGUGCUAAGACCGCGUACGCUCUUGUUGCUGCGAUGCAAGAAGAGGAGAAGGCUUGUCCGAGGAGGGGAGCCUGGCCGAUGGGGGGCGUGCGCCUGAUUAGCUAGUUGGUGGGGUAACGGCCUACCAAGGCGACGAUCAGUAGCUGGUCUGAGAGGAUGAUCAGCCACACUGGGACUGAGACACGGCCCAGACUCCUACGGGAGGCAGCAGUUAGGGAAUUUUCACACUGGGCGCAAGCCUGAUGGAGUAACGCCGCGUGGGCGAUGACGGCCUUCGGGUUGUAAAGCCCUUUUCUGGGGGAAGACAGCAGGACGGUACCCCAGGAAGAAGCCUCGGCUAACUACGUGCCAGCAGCCGCGGUAAUACGUAGGAGGCGAGCGUUGUCCGGAAUUACUGGGCGUAAAGCGCGUGUAGGCGGUCGCAUACGUCGGGGAUGAAAGCCCUCUGCUCAACGGGGGGAGUGUUCGCGAAACGGUACGACUUGGUGGAGUCUGGUAGGGGGGUGCGGAAUGGCCGGUGGAGCGGUGAAAUGCGUAGAGAUCGGUCAGAACACCAGUGGCGAAGGCGGCACCCUGNGCCAGUACUGACGCUGAGACGCGAAAGCGUGGGGAGCGAACGGAAUUAGAUACUCCGGUAGUCCACGCC